rnacentral:sRNA from 2 species
AUAUCUCUCCGUACGGGAAGGAUGAGAAGCUUCGACUAAGGUUCGAUUCGAGCGCAGCGAGAAAGCGUUGCCGCAGGCAACG